rnacentral:lncRNA from 1 species
AUGUGCUAACGAGGAGAAAACACCUGCAAACAAUAUCCUUGUCCUGCGAUUGAUUCUACUUUAACUGUGCUUGUUCAGGUGGCAAAACCAUUAGCCACUUCUUGAUAGUUUUUAUGAUCAGACUUAGCACCUCGUAUUGAGCAAGCACUGAGGAAUGCAUCUUCCCUUAAAAGGUUGAUUUAUUAGUUUAUAUGUAAAAGAACACUGGAGGUUAUAAAGGUAACAAAGACCUUAAACAUUAUAUCGAUUUUUUUCCCCCAGAGCUUUUUUCUUCUUGUUGUAUUGCAGGGUAAUAAAAUUUCACUAGACCCAUUGGAUCCAUAAAAUCUGAAGUACAACCACCCACUGAUAGAAAUGAAAUUGUUUGACUGGAGCGAUAAGCAAGGACUCGGCUUUGAACUCUAGGCAGUAUAAGUCCUUUCGCUGGCCCGUGAGGGUGAUUUACGGCCUGCUGUGUGCAAAAGGACAAGCAUGUGUUUGCACGAGCUCCCAAUUCAGUUAUCACUGAGUGAUGCAGUGACUUAUACAUGGCCACGGUGGCCUCAAAAGGGGGAUCUUUAGAAAUGGAAAAUCAACACAUGCCUUUAUGAUAGAACUUAGAUUUUUUACUUGUUUGAAUUAAGUUGUGGAUAUAAGAUUAUAAAGAGUAGACUAGGAAAAUAAGAAAUCCUCUUUGCAAUUCUCAAGAUAUGUUAUCUCUAAAAUAGUGAGCUUUCAAAAAAGAAAAUGGGGCCCAGGGAACCAUAGCCAAUCUCUUGGGAUAGAACAUGAUAGAAAAUAGUAUGAGAAAAAUGACGUAUAUAUAUAUAUAUUAUAUAUACAUGUGUGUGUGUGGCUGAGUCACUGUGAUGUAUAGUAGAAAUUGACACAACAGUGUAAAUAAAUUAUACUCUAAUUUUAAAAAAAGAAAAAAAUAAUAACUAACUCAUUGCAAAACAAAAACAAUGGGGAGCUGCAAGCUCAUCACAGUACACUGUAGUACUGUGUGCCAGAUUGGAAUUUUCUGAGCUUCUACUCUGUGCUGGACCCUUGCCUAUGGAGACUCUUGACAUAUGAACCAUCAGUUCAUGCUGCCUCUGUCUCUCUCUAGUGCCAUCCUUGCCCCUUGCAGCUCUAAGCACUGUGUCUCUCAAGGCCCAAGGCAUGGCUGCCCCAGUACCCAUCAGGCAUCAUGGAGGACCAUCUUGGAAAGGAGCUCCGUGCCCCACCAGGCAAAGUGAGGUUUCUGAUUUCAGUGGCAAAGGUUUGAGAACAGGAGGUCAAUCGGGGAUGAGGUGGGCAAGGUCUCCCUUAAAGCUGCCUUAUUGAUGUUCUUGUGGAUGGAAGUAGAAGGGAUUAGAAUGGGAGGUCCCCGGUCAACCAGCAAACUUUUCAGUUAGUCUGAUCCUGUGACCUGGAGUUCCAGCAGCUGUAAUGUAAGGGUACCUAUGAGGACUGGAACGUAAACUCACAAUAAUGAGCUUUGGGUCUAUUUCUGUCCAAAAAUGGGCCAUUCUGAAGCCACUGAGUACUGAGAUCAAAGCCAUACCCCAGCCAGACAGCUUUCUUCCAAAGAUACAUCUUUGAUGGUUUUGUUUUUUGGAAUCUGGAUCAAAACUAUCUACGUUUUCUGUCUUUUUUUUUUUUUUCUAUUUGUCAAAAACUAAGAUACAUGAAUUAGUCAAUAACCAGAAACUUGGUUGUUCUGUUUUGCUUUGCUGUAGGUGUUUCAUGUCGCUCAUUAAAUGCUUCAUUAACCCCCAGCUGUGCUGGUGGGGCGGCAGGUCUCAGAGUGGCUAAGUUCCAGUUGGUGGGCCCCUCACACGUGGUCUGACGGUGUGACUGCAGGUCAUACUGCUGAUGCAUAUGGGGUCAUUUUAGGGCUUUGACUGCUCUUGCAGUGAAUUAAUAAUGUUCCACAACUUUUAUAUUUCACAUAGUGCCAAGGAGCUUGUGCUCUAAAUGAAUAUCUGACAAUGUCCAAUUUAAUUUUCGAAACAAAGUGUCCCAUCCAGAAGCCCAGUGCUGUCAUCUUCCUGUCAGGCUGGGGUACCACCGAUGGAGGGCUAAUUCUGAGACCACACUCUAGAUCAGCCCAUGUGCAGUAGGGGCCCCAAAGCAGGGAGUGCAAAUGGAAUGUGCUUUUUUGCUGCCCCAUCUCAUUUUAGGGACCCUGCCAGACAUCACUAAUUGAUUACAAAUUUUUUGGUCAAACCACAGAAUGUACUUCAGCACCAAAUGCCUGAGAGCCACCCCCAGUCAGACUCACUGCUGUCAGUGCUAGUAGGAACAUAAGGCUUUUUGUCCUCCUUAAACCAGAAGACCACUUUAAUGGCCAUUGGUCUGACCUAUCUUUGGUGCCAGGAGAAAUAGCUGUGGCUGUCAAGGGAGCCAUAGGACACAUACCACACCUGCCAACCGUAUUAUCCCCCCAAAACAGUGGGCUAAAUCAUUCCCGCACCACAAAUGCCCAUGUCCCUUGUGAUUGAGUCAGUGCGAAAUGCAUCUUACUUUUGUCCAUAGAAAUGACCUCAGUGAUAUAACAAAGCACAGACAACCCCUACCAGGAGGACGGAUGGAAGUUCAAUCACUUAUCUUCCUCACUGAUGUCUAGCCAUGUUUCUAUUUCUGUAUCUGUCUAGAACUGUGCCUAUCUAAACCUUUGUUAUUGUUGGUGAUUCCAAGAAGCUGGGAAUCAGCCUUUGAAUGAAGAAGAAUUUAGCAUCAAAACAGUGAAAAAUACCCUUGAGUGUUCCAGUUCUAGGGGCCAUUGGCUAUAAGACUGUACACUCUGCAGACAAAUUAUGGCCCAGAAUACCUGCAGGGCAAGUGGAUUCAUCCAGAAAUCCUACCUCAUGAGUUUCCCUUAUCUUCUGUUCUUUUCUCCCUCAAAAUAUAUUGAUUUUAUGAAAGGAGGAGAGGAAAUUAACAUGUCCAGACCCUCUGCCAUGUGCCAGGAUCUUCACAGUCAUUUUAUCUAAUCUGUACAAUGUCCCUGAGAUGUGGAAAUUAGCAUCUCAUUGCUUAACUGAAACAACUAAGGCUCAUGGAGUUUAAAGCAUUUACCCACGAUUGUCAUGCCAUUGCUUAAAUUUAUUCAUGGCAGAGUCAACACAUAAAUUAAGGUUUGAAAAAAAAUUAUCCAGUAAAAUACAUGACUUUUUCUCUUUUAACAACUCAUGAAGAAAGAGAAAAUAAUUUUACUAAGUUUUUCUUCCAGAAAUGUCAUCCCAGUCUUCCUUUUGCUCUAUAAUCCAAACAUUAGUGGGGUCCAGCUUAUGAAAGAACAUGUAACUUAGUCCACGACUUUCUACUAAAGAAUACAUUUGAGAGUGUUAAGUUAACUCUGGAUGAUGCAGUUAGACAAACUGUGAAAGUUACUGGGGAAACAUGCAGAUGUUAAAGAAACAGUGUUGUUAUGCAGGGUGAUUUGGUGCCAGACCAUCAUCCUAUUCCCAUUGGGCCAUCCCUCAUCCCUCCCAUCCUCACCAACCAGCCUCAUCUCUCCUCUCCACUUUACUUGGCCAGUCUUAGAAAAGAUGAGAAAUAAAUGCAUGAAACCUACAUGAAGACCAGAGGAGCUCUCUUUCCCCCGGUCUCUCAAAUCUAAAAUAAAUGACAUUGUCCACCCCAUCCCAUGUACAGGUAGGAUGCCAACAUUUGAACUCAGCAAGCCACACUGAGUGGCAGGGAUACUUGACUGUAAAUACAACUCCAAUGACAUAUGACUUUUUUUUUUUUUUUUAAGAAAUUGGCAGAUCAAAUCCCUGAGCUUGAAUGGCAUGUAGAAGCAUUGUUAAUUCCAAGAAUUUUUUUUUCUCUGUUCAAGUCGCUCUUCGAGGAGUCAUCUUCAUUUGCUUGUCUGUUCACGAUUUUACGGCAUGGAGGUGACAAGCACUCCCUGGAACACGUCGUGGGAGGGCACCCACUAAAAGAGAGCUCAAGCUGAAUGACAUUGGAUGUGAAAUGCAACCUUUUCCUGCCAGGCUGUGUGAUAUUUAGCAUGCCUUGACAUAUGCUAAACUACAAGAUUUUGAAAUCAUCAGAAUUACCUGGGAAAUGUGACAUGGAGUAUGUGGGUCAGAAUUCUCUCAUGAUUAGUUCAAAAGUCUAAAACAUUUUCCACAAUUUCAAAUCCAUAUUUUAUCUGAACUCUACCAUAUGGGUUUGACAUACCAAACAUGACUUUAUAGUCUUAAGUAAUGCUUUAACCAUUGGGAGAGUCAUAUAUGGUAAAUGUUUCUAUUACUUGCUCUCUAUUGAACUUAUAAUAGUUUUAAUAAUGAGACUGUUGGCGUCUUGAAACAUAUAAAAAUAAAAGAAUUAGUGGAAAUAGAUGAUGAGAUUCUAGGCAAAGGAGUUCUAGGCCCACUUGUUGUCUUUCAUAUCCAAGGAGGAGUUAGUAACCUAUUACUUUGUCUAUGAUGAGUUAUUUUCAAAUAAUUUAAGGAAGUUUGGGGCCAUCUUCAAAAGGCCAUGUAUUUUAUUUUCUCCUUUCGACUGGUGUUCAUUUAUUUUGCUAAUUCUUGGUGGUUAUAUUCUCCAUACUUUAUAUGCAUACACUGUGCAAUUGGAGUUUUUACACCCACAUCAUUGAACCUAACAGCCCCCAGGAGAAAACAUCCUUGUGCUCAUAG